rnacentral:rRNA from 1 species
GAUGAACGCUGGCGGCGUGCCUAAUACAUGCAAGUCGAGCGAACGGACGAGAAGCUUGCUUCUCUGAUGUUAGCGGCGGACGGGUGAGUAACACGUGGAUAACCUACCUAUAAGACUGGGAUAACUUCGGGAAACCGGAGCUAAUACCGGAUAAUAUUUUGAACCGCAUGGUUCAAAAGUGAAAGACGGUCUUGCUGUCACUUAUAGAUGGAUCCGCGCUGCAUUAGCUAGUUGGUAAGGUAACGGCUUACCAAGGCAACGAUGCAUAGCCGACCUGAGAGGGUGAUCGGCCACACUGGAACUGAGACACGGUCCAGACUCCUACGGGAGGCAGCAGUAGGGAAUCUUCCGCAAUGGGCGAAAGCCUGACGGAGCAACGCCGCGUGAGUGAUGAAGGUCUUCGGAUCGUAAAACUCUGUUAUUAGGGAAGAACAUAUGUGUAAGUAACUGUGCACAUCUUGACGGUACCUAAUCAGAAAGCCACGGCUAACUACGUGCCAGCAGCCGCGGUAAUACGUAGGUGGCAAGCGUUAUCCGGAAUUAUUGGGCGUAAAGCGCGCGUAGGCGGUUUUUUAAGUCUGAUGUGAAAGCCCACGGCUCAACCGUGGAGGGUCAUUGGAAACUGGAAAACUUGAGUGCAGAAGAGGAAAGUGGAAUUCCAUGUGUAGCGGUGAAAUGCGCAGAGAUAUGGAGGAACACCAGUGGCGAAGGCGACUUUCUGGUCUGUAACUGACGCUGAUGUGCGAAAGCGUGGGGAUCAAACAGGAUUAGAUACCCUGGUAGUCCACGCCGUAAACGAUGAGUGCUAAGUGUUAGGGGGUUUCCGCCCCUUAGUGCUGCAGCUAACGCAUUAAGCACUCCGCCUGGGGAGUACGACCGCAAGGUUGAAACUCAAAGGAAUUGACGGGGACCCGCACAAGCGGUGGAGCAUGUGGUUUAAUUCGAAGCAACGCGAAGAACCUUACCAAAUCUUGACAUCCUUUGACAACUCUAGAGAUAGAGCCUCCCCCUUCGGGGGACAAAGUGACAGGUGGUGCAUGGUUGUCGUCAGCUCGUGUCGUGAGAUGUUGGGUUAAGUCCCGCAACGAGCGCAACCCUUAAGCUUAGUUGCCAUCAUUAAGUUGGGCACUCUAAGUUGACUGCCGGUGACAAACCGGAGGAAGGUGGGGAUGACGUCAAAUCAUCAUGCCCCUUAUGAUUUGGGCUACACACGUGCUACAAUGGACAAUACAAAGGGCAGCGAAACCGCGAGGUCAAGCAAAUCCCAUAAAGUUGUUCUCAGUUCGGAUUGUAGUCUGCAACUCGACUACAUGAAGCUGGAAUCGCUAGUAAUCGUAGAUCAGCAUGCUACGGUGAAUACGUUCCCGGGUCU